CACAUGCAAGUCGAACGAACUCUUCGGAGUUAGUGGCGGACGGGUGAGUAACACGUGGGAACGUGCCUUUAGGUUCGGAAUAACUCAGGUUAACUUGUGCUAAUACCGAAUGUGCCCUUCGGGGGAAAGAUUUAUCGCCUUUAGAGCGGCCCGCGUCUGAUUAGCUAGUUGGUGAGGUAAAGGCUCACCAAGGCGACGAUCAGUAGCUGGUCUGAGAGGAUGAUCAGCCACAUUGGGACUGAGACACGGCCCAAACUCCUACGGGAGGCAGCAGUGGGGAAUCUUGCGCAAUGGGCGAAAGCCUGACGCAGCCAUGCCGCGUGAAUGAUGAAGGUCUUAGGAUUGUAAAAUUCUUUCACCGGGGACGAUAAUGACGGUACCCGGAGAAGAAGCCCCGGCUAACUUCGUGCCAGCAGCCGCGGUAAUACGAAGGGGGCUAGCGUUGCUCGGAAUUACUGGGCGUAAAGGGAGCGUAGGCGGACAUUUAAGUCAGGGGUGAAAUCCCGGGGCUCAACCUCGGAAUUGCCUUUGAUACUGGGUGUCUUGAGUAUGAGAGAGGUGUGUGGAACUCCGAGUGUUGAGGUGAAAUUCGUAGAUAUUCGGAAGAACACCAGUGGCGAAGGCGAAACACUGGCUCAUUACUGACCCCUGA
rnacentral:rRNA from 1 species